CGUUACCGACCCCGCACCGCCCGCGGCCCGCGCUCCCCUUCCCGGGCAGUUCCUCUCGGCGCCCCCGAGUCCUCCCCGCGCGCCGCUUCCCGGGUGGGCCCUUCCACCAGAACCCCCUGGUAGAUCCUCCCCUAGUGCCCUGGGGGUAGAGGGGAGAUCCUCUACAAGGGUCGUUUCCCUGGUGAUCCCUCCCUGUGCCCCACAGGUGAGUCCUGCCGUAGCUCUCCAGGGGUUCCUCCUGAUGCUGGGGUCCUCCGGCAUUCCUCCCUGAGCCCCUCAAGGGCCCUGAAGCUCAGCGGCCCAGCCCUGGCCUCGGGGUCCCCACCCCACACCUCCCUUCCAGGCCUAACCUUUGCCCCCGACACCAGGCAGCGCGUGUCCUUGGCCUUCGCCGCCCAGCCCGCGUGGCAUCUCUGGACAGGUGGCCGUGCGCGCCUUAGUGUGGGCAGGCUCUGUAGCCGGCAAAGCCUCCCUGAACCGUGACCUGGUGAGAAGGCCACAGAGGAGGUGCCUGUGCCCAGAGGCCACCUCCAAAGACCCCACCUGAGGCUGGAACCCAGCGCCUGCUGACCCCGCCAGCCCCAACAGGGCUGGAGUCCAGGAGCGGCUGUGCUCUUUCCGCAGUGAGGCAGCUGCCUUCUCUUCCCACCACCUGUCAGGAUGCCUUCCCGUGUGUGUUUGUGCACAGGUCUAAGGAGAGGAGAGUCCAGUGACCCAGACGCCCCAGCCAGGAAGAGCAUGAGGUGGGAAGGGGGCUUCCCAGAUGGAGAGAAACAGAUGGUCCCAGAGUGGCUUGGAGACAGGUGCAACAUCAGUGUUGGGGGAGGACAUGGAGCGGAGCGUUCAGGGCUAUCAGGAGGGAGCCCCGUGGCCACGGUGCAAGAUCUAGGCAGGUGGGACAGACAUGGUCAGGAUGCUGGGGACACAGCAUGGGGAAUCCAGCACACAGGACACCAUCCAGGAAAGCAAAGCUGCGGCCUGAGAUCUCCUUCCACCAACUCCUGGCAUGGCCAGAAAGUUAGCCAGAAACACCAGAAAGUGCCAGGCAGCUAGGAAGCAUGGGGAGAGCCCCUCGAAGCUGCGUGUGUAGUGCCUGCUUCCGCUGCCAUCCCAGAAAUGGACGAGCUUCACCCUGAAAUCCAGCCACGCCACUGGGACACAUCCUGACAGUGACAUGCACACUCUUCCCUGGCCCCAGCCUGGAGAGGAGCCUCCUGAAGACACCAGCCUUUGCUCCUUCUCCCAGUGGGAGUGGAGAGAACUGACUGCUGGAGUGGAGACAGUCAAGGCUGUCCUUCUGAGGGAGCACAGCACAGGGUCUGGUGUCCCAGGGAGGCAAUCUGAAAUUCAAGCCAGGCCUCCCCAGCGGAGAGGACACACCCCUCACCAUGCAGAGUGACGUUUAGUAAACUCUCAAAAGAGAGCACAGAGCCCCGCUCCUCCAGCCGACCCCUACUCUGCCUCCCCACUCCAGACCACUGAAAAAGGUGGAUUACCCUUAAGCCAGCUCAGAGGCAAAGUCCAAAGACCUCAGGUGAGUCAAACAAUAAAAACAAAGAAUUAAGAAGAAUCCAGCCGGGUGCGGUGGCUCACGCCUGUAAUCCCAGCACUUUGGGAGGCUGAGGCGGGAGGAUCACGAGCAGGAGAUCGAGACCAUCCUGGCUAACACGGUGAAACCCCGUCUCUACUAAAAAUAGAAAAAAUUAGCUGGGCGUGGUGGCGGGCGCCUGUAGUCCCAGCUACUCCGGAGGCUGAGGCAGAAGAAUGGCGUGAACCCAGGAAGCGGAGCUUGCAGUGAGCCGAGAUCGUGCCACUGCACUCCAGCCUGGGCGACAGAGCAAGACUCUGUCUCCAAAAAAAAAAAAAAAAAAAAAAUCCAUCCACUCCAUCCACUUAGUAGCAGAGCGAAUAGACAUUCAGGAAAGAGCUUUCACGUCAGAAAGCACUACAGAAGUAGUGGCAUAUCCCCGGAGGCUGAGGUGGGAACAUUGCUGAGAGGUGGCACGUGACCACAUCCAUGUCAUUCAACAGAAAAACAAGUCAGCGAGGGUGUGAGGGGCCGGUGAGAAACCCAGUAUGGAAGAAAACACAACUGGGCUGAGCGUGGUGGCUCACGCCCGUAAUCCCAACACUUUGGGAAGCCAAGGCAGGAGGAUCACCUGAGGUCAGGAGUUUGAGACCAGCCUGGUCAACAUAGUGAAACCUCAUCUCUACUAAAAAUACAAAAAAAUUAGCUGGGUGUGGUAGCGCGUGCCUGUAGUCCCAGCUACUCAGGAGGCUGAGGCAGGAGAAUUGCAUGAACCCAGGAGCCGAGACCACACCACUGCACUCCAGCCUGGGGGCGGCACAGUGAGACUCCGUCUCAAAGAAACAAAAAUAAAAAAUAAAUAAAUAAAUAAGAAAACGCAACCAAAGAAACAGAAGAGGACUCCACAGGACUGCUUUCAGAGCUUCAUAGCAGCAUGAAUUCAACAAUCAGGAAUUCAAAUGCUUGACGACAAAACAGCAGGAUGGGAGGAAGAGUUAAGAGCCAAGCAAACCGGAAGCACCAAAAUCGCACCGUGGCUGGAUUAAGUCAAAAACAGCAAAGAGCAGAAUAUCAAGUUACUCGGAGAUGAAAGGCUUGAGAUAAUUUCAGAGCAAGACAAAGUGAUUAACACAAUAAUUUACUCAUUUAUUAUUUGUUAAACACCUACUUCAAGCUACAGGCCACUCUAGGCCUUGGAGGGUAAGGAAACAGCGCCUUUGCCCUCAGAGGGUUUGCAAUCUAGCAGGGAGGGGAACAUAAUAAAGUGUAUAAAACCAGGGCUCUGGCUCUGAAAUUCCAGCACUUUGGGCAGGUCACUUGAACCCAGGAGUUUGAGACCAGCCUGGGCAACAUAGUGAAAACCCAUCUCUACUGAAAAAUAUAAAAAUUAGCAGGGCGUGGUGGUGCAUGCCUGUAGUCCCUGCUACUUGAGAGGCUGAGGCAGGAGGAUAGCUUAGGCCUGAGAGGCAUAGUUCGCAGUGAGCCGAGAUAGCACCUCUGCACUCCGGCGUGGGUGGCAGAGCAAGACCCUGUCUAACAACAACAACAACAAAAACUGAUCUUAAGUCCAGCCAGUAAAGAUGUAAAUCAAAACAAAGAUUUUCAGUGGGUCAAAUACUGGCGGUGAGCCUUGAUCUUCUGGUAAGAAAUGCCCUGCCAGGGGAUACGGAAAUGUCAGUGCCAGUUCCUCACCAUUCACAGGCAGAAGUCAGCCUGUGCCGCCUCAGCCAAACCGUGCUUUGCUGCUGGAAACCAAACACACUCAUCUCUUGUUUUUGUAAUUUCUAAAAAUAAUCGUAGAAGACUCUUUUUUUUUUUUUUUGGAGACAGGGUCUCACUCUGUCACCCAGGCUCAAGUGCAGUGGGCCUAUCUCGGCUCACUGCAGCCUCGACUUCCUGAGCUCAAGUGAUCCUCCCACCUCAGCCUCCCAAGUAGCUGGGACUACAGGAGCGCACCACCACGCCCGGCUAAUUUUUGUAUCUUCAGUAUGGAUGGAGUUUCGCUAUGCUGCCCAAGCUGUUCUCCAACUCCUGAGCUCAAGUGAUCUGCCCGCCUUGGCUUCCCAAAGUGCCAGGAUUACAGGCCUGAGCCACGGCGCCCGGCCAUCGUAAGGAGACUUUUAAACUUGAGGUGAAGAAGCAUUCAUUUGCUUUUAGCAAUUUUUUUCUUUAAAUAUUUAAAAGUGUAUAAGUAGCAACUCGACACGUAUUUCUGUAUUUCCAUUACUUCCUUUUAUCUCCCCAUAUACAUUUAGAAAUAUCUGGGAUAACCUUCAGGUAAUGUUAACAGCUGUUAUUCCAGGGAGGACACUGGGCGCGUUUUUAAAGCUGUAUUCUUUGCUGUAUUAAUAGCAAGCGGUGUUUCUGCAAA